UUUGCAACUUCAGUGAUGUGUAAGUUUCAGUGAUCUACUCUGUAAUAUUUGAGUGCUUUUGUCUCUGGCUUUGUAACUUCAGUAAUGUGUAAGUUUGAGUGAUCUACUCUAAAUUUUCCACUUGUUUUCCAGCACCUAUUACACUCAGUAUCAGUGUAACUACAGUCUGAAUUGUAUUGUGAAUUAACUCUGGGCUGCAAGUUUGUAUGUCCCUUUUUAUCCUUUGCUAGCUUUUGUUGUACAUCCCUUCGUUGUCGUAGCUAGUGCGUUCUGCUAGCAAAUUUCAGCUCUGUUCUUUGUGUUUCUGUGAAACAGAAUGUCCUUUUCAUUUUCGGCUUUGUAAAUGUUUGAUUGCUCUAUCUGAAAUCCCUGUUUUCUUAGUGGAUUUAUAGUGUGUUUUCUGAGUGUUCUACACUGUAAUUCUUAGUGGAUUUACAGUGUAAUUUCUUAGCGGAUUUACACUGUAAUUCCUUAGCGAAUUUACACCGUAAUUUUAGGUGGAUUUUUUUACUAGAUUUACACUGUAAUUUUCAGUGAAUUUACACUGUAUUUUUAGUGGAUUUAUACUGUAAUUUGCAAUGGAUCUACACUGUAAUUCUUAGUGGAUUUACUCUGUAGUUUUCAGUUGAUCUUUCGUUGUAAUCCUAUAAGAAUUACACUGUAUCUCUUGAUUUUUACAGUGUAAUUCUUAGUGGAGUUACACUGUAAUCCUUAGUGUUUUUGUAGUGACUAUUAGUUAUUCUUGGAUUACCUUGUAUUUACACUGUAGCUCUUGAUUUUACGGUGUAAUUUUCAGUGUAUUUACACUGUAAUUCUUAGUGUAUUUUUGGCUAGAGUCUGUUAGCGGGGUUUUACCCUUGUAAUCUGCAUUUGACUAGGGACUAUUAUGUGGAUUAUUUUUGUAUUAUCUUUAGUAGAUCUUAUAGUGUAAUUCUUAUUGUAUUUACAGUGUAACUCUCAGUGGGCUUACACUGUAAUUUUUCAGUUGAUUCUCCUCUUAGUGAAUUUGACUAGGACUGUUAGUUGGUUUUUACCCUUGUACUCUGCAGUUGAGUAGGGUCUAUUAUGUGGAUUUUUAGGUCUGAACAUUUUUCAGGUAGCCAAUCUCUAUCUUGUUUGUAAUUUACUUUCAUGCAUUUGGUUGUUUCUUUAUUUUAUUUUUUUACCGUAAUGUCAUUUUGGUUUUGCUGUGUAGGUUGCAAGUCUCUUGCUCUUGACUCUACAAAGAAAGCAUCAAAUGAUUCGUUAGUUGGUAAAUCUGCUGGUUAUAUUUAGUCAAACGAGGGUACAAAGGAUGGUCCAAAUUUGGUUUCUUGUGUGUGCCAUGUAGUAUCAGUGCUUAACUUUUUUCUUUAGUUUCAGUGCGAUCUUCAUAGUAAUUACAUUUAAAAGAUCAUAGUAAUACUAAGUUCAAGUGACAGUAAGUUGCCCUUUUAUAAAGUUCCAAAGUUUCAAAUAUUCAAUCAUAGUGUCAUUUUGGUUUCUGAGCAGGAACAUAUUGGUUUCUCUAUAUAAUACACUGUAUUUUACACUGUAGUUCCAGUGGUCUAGCACUGGAAUUACAGUUUGCUUACACUGUAAUUCCAGUGGUCUAGAGAUGUAAUUCAAACUGUAAUUACAAAGGAUUUUUCACCCUGGUCCACUACUGUAAUUUCUAUUGCUGUCCACUGAAAUUUUAGUGGUCUAGUAUUGUAACUACAGUUUGUCUGUCACUGUAAAUUCCUUAUCUGCCAGUGUAAUUUAGUUUCACAUGUUAUUUUUCUGUUCCUCUGUAACCAUAGUGUAAAAACACUUGUUAGAUUUUGCUUUUGUGUAGGAUCUACUCAUCUGUAUAUGUUCUUAUUGCUUUUUCUAGUGAUCUAUUGAUUUUGAGUUUAUAACAAGAGUGCUCUGUGGAUUCUGAUCUGCUCUUUCGCUUUGCUAGCAACAUGUUGCUGCUCAAGGUAGAACAAUAUUUUUUGCAUUAGCUAAUGAACGUUUUUGCAGGAUUUCUUUCCCUGCUGUUUUAUAUUUAAAUUUCACAAUGAUAGUACCUUGUACAUCAUUUGCGCCUGAAGUAGUUGAGUAAAAGAGUAUGCCCUGCUCUGUUAUUUUGUUAAGAAUCAAGUUAGAAAAGCAUGGUUGAAUAUGUUUGUUCAUUUUUUUAGUUUAAAAAAAAAGCAAUACAGAAACAAUACAAAAAGAGUAGAGCUUUUGUGUUUCAUGAUCUACUCUUUCAUGAUUUGUUACUGGUUUUUUUACUCUCUAUCUUUUUAAUUUCAGUCGUACUUCCCUAUUGGUCUCGAUGGUCGCUUUUCGUUUGUCGUGUGUAUCGAAGAUAGAGCUUUUGUGUUUCUUGACUCAGCGUUUGGAGAGAACUCAAUGUAUCAUAGAGAUAUCUAUGAUGAGCUGGUGAUUUUUCUUGUAAGCUUUUAUGUAUAUUUCUGUUAGAUUUUGUAGUUGUGCCACUUUCAUGUACUACAAAUAUCGUUUUUAAUGCUCCCUCUCUGUUCUAGUGCAUUUUUUCCAUGUAUUUUUAGUUUAUUUCAGUUGUAUUCCCCUAUUAUCUUAGUGGAUUUACAGCGUAACUCUCAUUGGAUUUAUAUUGUAAUUAUUUUUAGAGCAUUUUUACAGUGUAACUCAUUGGAUUUGCACUGAAAUUAUCUUUAAUGCAUUUUACAGUGUAACUGCCAUUGGAUUUACACUGUAAUUAUCCUUAGUGCAUCUACAGUGCAACUCUCAUUGGACUUGCACUGUAAUUUUCUUUAGUGCAUUUUAUACUGUAGCUCUUAUUGGAUUAGUGCAUUUUACACUGUAACUUUCAUUGAAUUUAUACUGUAAUUAUCUUUAGUGCAUUUUACAGUGAAACUCAAAUUGGAUUUACACUGUAACUAUCUUAGUGAAUUUUUAUAGUGUAACUCUCAUUGGAUUUAUACUGUAAUUUAUCUUAGUGGAUUUUACAGGGUAAUUCUCAUUGGAUUUACACCGUAAUUCUUAGUUGUUGUACUAUGUAAAGCUUAGUGCCAUUGUACUGUAUUCACCACUUUGUGUCUAGUGCAUUUAGUGUUAGUUAUUUCAGUGUAACAUGCACUUUAAUUGUACUGAUAGCUCCUCUUUAUCGUCUACGACGCACUUAAUUUUAUUUUCUACAGUAAAUUAGUUUGGUAUGAUUUCCUAAUUUUUUAGUUUCAAAACAGAUUCAUAAUUUCAUUGGGCUUUGGGAUGGGUAUAUCACUCCUAUGAUGCACAAAUGAAUUAGUAUCGAAGAGUUUGAUGUCUUGUAUACAGUUGUUCCUAAGCAAGAGAAUUGGUAUUAUGUUUUUUUGCCUUACAUGAUUUUGAUUAAUUUUAUAUAGAUUGUUUUGUAGGCUUCUUUUCUUAUUUUUUGUGUUCUUUGUAACUUUUCAGGCAUGAUUGUGGUGUCUUCACUCUGAAGUAUAUGGAGAUCUUCACACCAAGAACUUAGAUGGCAAAUCUUUUCUCCAAUGUAGACAUUCGAAAUCUUAGGAUCAAAUAUGUGAAUGACAUGUUUUUCAGCCCCUUGAACAGCUGCGACAAAUCUUUUGUCACUGCUUUCUUUGGCAAUUUAUGUUCUUAUUUUCCUUGUCCUCUAUUUCAUUUUCUUUUCUCCUUAUUAGCUUUUUUUUCUUUGCCUAUUCUGGUCUCUUUGAUUUUUUUUUGUGUAGGGAGGCAAUGCCAAGUGAGGUUCAGCAUGUGCACAGUCCUAGCUCAAUUGGUGGAUGAGUUCCCCUUUUGAGUAGCAUGUAACAUAGAACCACUAGUGCAAAUCAUUUGGAUUAUUGGUGGAUUUACAAGGUCUUUUUUAGUGCAUUUAAAGUGGCAUCUUUAAUGCAUCUUGCACUGUAAUUCUUAGUGGUUAAUCUUAACAGUUUUUUCAGUGCAAACCAUUUGGAUUGUUGGUAGAUUUACAGUGUCAUUUUAGUGGAUUUUACAGUGUAAUUUUAAUGCAUCUUACACUGUAAUUCUUAGUGGGCAUGAUAGAAAGUAUUGUCGAUUUUAGUGGAUUUUACAGCAAAUUUCUUGGUGGUAAUAUUAUUGUAAUUAUACUUCUUUGUCAAUGUAAUUUUUAGGUGACAUCAUCU
rnacentral:lncRNA from 1 species